rnacentral:lncRNA from 1 species
CAAAUGAAUUUUCAAGUUUUUACUAUCAAUUAAUAUAUUCAGAUUUUCAGAAAAAUUAAAAUGCAAUGGAUGAAAACAUAAAAUCUAUACCAGUAGAAACUGCCUAUUUGGUUUGUUCAAAUCUGAAUAAUUAUGUAUUCAUGUUACAGUGGGCAAGAUAAGAACACUAUCAUUCUCACUUUCCAUCAUUGUUUCUCUGAUGAUCUAAUCAAAACCUUUAAUCAAACUCAUCCUUUGGCUCAAGGUAAAAAUAAUUUUUGCAAAGAGAAAUAGUUUUUAAUCAAUUCAAGAUGCAGCUGGAAUAAAUGCUACUGGCCAGAGUAGCCAUUGUUCUUGGCAAAUGUCUCUAAGCAAUAAACAAUGAACACCACACCCUCAAGAGAAGGGGAGAAAAAGAUGGGGAUAGUCAUUGUUUUCAUGUCAUAUUACUAAAUGUUAUUAUGGUCUAUUUAUAUGCAGUGGAGACUAACACAUAAUGUACUUGAUGAAUACAGAACAAUUAGGAGUUUUGAGUUGCUAGAAACAAGUAUCUCAAGUGCUUAGUUUAAUAAGCUCUGCAUUCACACAUGGAACUAAUGCUUGUUGGAGAAUCUAUUAAGAAACAUUUUAUCAAUAAGCCAGUAGCAGAAAAAUUUUGGAAGCUAUUCAAAGAUUGAGUUAUAUAUCCAUAUGGUACUUAUUUGAAGAGAGAAAAGCAAAGUAUUUGCAAGCUUUGAAAACAUUCAUUUCUUUUCCAAUACCACUUACAUAUAGCAGUAAGUGCCUCACCAAUUGUUUUUCAUUGAGUAAUUAAAUAAGAUUUAAAUAAAUGCCUUUAAUAGUUAUGUAUGUUUGAUAUUUUAAAACAGAAUGUCACAUUUCCUAUUAUGUUAAAAUUGAUAUUUAUGGUUCAAUGAGGGUGGGAAAUCCAAUUCCAUAACCCCAUAUACUAUAUGGAUUUGAAUCUUGGAGUCUGUCUUAAGUUCAGAAGGUUUUCUUAUAGCAAUGUUCACUCUCAAUAUUGAACAAUUCAUACCUAAAUGUCUGUGCUGAAUAUCUUGUGAACUCAUUCUAUGGGUAGUCAGUAUUUUGGUGUUUCAAGCAAUUGAGGUUAAAUGAAAAGAUAGCAUUUGAUAGAGAAAGUCAGAUCUAUAUUACACAAAUCAAAAAAGUGACCACUUGGAAGUAGAGGUCACUUGGAAUUCAUCCACUGACCUUUACCCAGAAAAAGUUGUUUUUUUGAAGGCAAAAAAUGCCCAUAGGAGUCACCAUAUUUAGGGUACAAUUCAGCAUAAUGGUUAAGAACUUGGAUUUUGGAUUCAGAGAUACCAUGAUAGGAUUUUUGGCUCUACUAUUUACAGACUAUAUGACUUUUCGGAAGUUUCUUAGCCUCAACUUACACAGUAUUAUAAAAGUAAUACCUAUCUCAUAGAGUUAAUAGAAGGAUUAAACAGGGAGAUAUGCGUUAAUUACUUGGCCCAAAACACUCACUACACCCCCACACACACACACACACAGUGUAUUUUUCCUCAUUACUCAUGAAUUCUGUAUUUGACUUUGCCUAUUUGCUAAAAUUUACUUGUAAUCCCCAAACCAGUACUUGGAACAAUUCCACAGUCAUUCACGAACAUGCACAAAACAGUGAAAUAUUUGUUAUUCCAAUGCACACAUUCUUAGCUGAGGUAAAAUAAAGCAGCACUAGGUCUUGUUUCAGCUCUUAUACUGUAAAGAAGUCUUUUUCAUUAUUUAAUGCCAC